CGGGGUAUAGUGUAGUGGAUAUCAUGGCAUUCUGCGAAGUUGCCAACCUGGGUUCAAAUCCCAGUACCCCGGCCA
rnacentral:tRNA from 1 species